GGGAACAGAAUAGAUUCUCGAUUCGUAAGUGAGGCAACAAAUUGUUUGGAUACAACCUUUACGGGUGUUGAACAGUCUCGACAAGAAGAAAAAAACAAAGUUAUAGAAUCCUAUAGACCACUCGAUCAAGAAAUUGGAAAAGCUUCCCAACUGGCAACUAUUCCCGAUGUCGAUGUUGAAGACGAUAAAACCAAAAUUAAUGCCCUAAAACUGCGCAUUUCUAAUGAAACAUCGAAGCAAAGAGUUAUAUUGGAAAACGAGCCAGAUUCGCAAGCUGAACUUGUCCCUUUUAUGCAAACUUUACUGAACGACUGCACCAAGUACGCUGAAAAAGUAGUGAAUAUAAAUAGGCACUAAUAUUCUUAAGUGAAUUUGUAUCAAAGAGAAUAUAAAUAAAAUAUUGCUUAUUCGAACAUUGAAAA